AUGAAGAGCAUCUUUUUUAUAAUAGAAAAGGAUAUCAUUCCUUAAAUGUUCAAAUGGUUUGUGAUAGUAAUCUUUUAAUUUUAAAUGUAAAUGCAAAGUUUGGUGGAGCUACACAUGAUUCACAUAUAUGGUCUUCUAGUAGAGUUGAAUUAUAUAUGCGUGAACUUCAUCAAAAUAAUGAGAAAGUAUGGCUCUUAGGUGACUCUGGAUAUCCACAACGCCCUUGGCUUAUGACACCUAUCCUCAAUGCAGUUGAAGGUUCUAGGGAAGACCAAUACACUCGAUUGCAUGUGCAAGCCCGUAACUGCAUUGAGCGAUGUUUUGGAUUACUCAAAGCAAUGUGGAGAUGUUUGCUUAGAGACAGGGUUCUUCACUAUCAUCCUCGUGUAGCUAGCAAAAUUACAAUGGCAUGUUGUGUAUUACACAAUAUAGCUUUGCAAUCUGGGCUGCCACCACCACAACCACUUCCUGCUGCACAUGACAAUGGGGAUGAUACAAUGAUGCAAGAUCCCACAUCCACUGCGUUUGUAGGUAGCCAGAGUGAAGUAAUCCAAGGCAGAGCCAUGCUGAGUUGUUUAUUGAAUAGGAUAUAGUAAGAUUAUUUUAAGCUUUAAUAUGAAUCUAUUUUACAUU